GUCGAACGAGACUUUCGGGUCUAGUGGCGGACGGCUGAGUAACGCGUAGGUAACGUACCUCUUACUGGGGGAUAACAUCGGGAAACCGGUGCUAAUACCGCAUAAGUCGUGUCUUGAAAUAGAUACGAUUAAAGAUUUAUCGGUAAGAGAUUGGCCUGCGUCUGAUUAGCUAGUUGGUAGGGUAAUGGCCUACCAAGGCGAUGAUCAGUAGUUGGUCUGAGAGGAUGACCAGCCAGAGUGGGACUGAGAACGGCCCACACUUCUACGGAAGGCAGCAGUAGGGAAUUUUGCGCAAUGGGCGAAAGCCUGACGCAGCAACACCGCGUGCGGGAUGAAGGCCUUUGGGUUGUAAACCGCUGUCAGCAGGGAAUAAAUUGACUGUACCUGCAAAGGAAGCACCGGCUAACUACGUGCCAGCAGCCGCG
rnacentral:rRNA from 1 species